rnacentral:misc_RNA from 1 species
GGGAAAGGAAUGACAAAUGCUUGUAAUUGUUUUUCAUCUUCAAGACUUUCUUCUUCUCCAUAUGCUUUCUCAUAUUUGCAAGAAACAAGUUCAAAGUUAUGGUUUUUGUAAUUUUUUAGAUUCUUCCAUCUGUUUGGUUCCUGAGAAACCUCGGAAGGAGGAAAUGAAAGAUAGUAAAUGUUCUUAGCAGAGGUUAGGUGAAGUAUUGAUUUAUAACUUAUAUCCGAAGUAAAAUAACCAGAGCAUAUUUCUGUGGAAUUAGCAGAGGUUAGGCAGUGCAAAUAAUCACACGAUGGAUCUCAUUUUACUCUCUGCACGUUGAUCACAAUCUUUCCCACUUGUUCCCUGAAAUUAAAAUGUGCAUCUUGUGUGAAACAUGCUGUAGCUUCUUGGUAGGAGCACUGGAUUUCAAGUUGCAUCAACCCAUCAACCACGUACUAAGGGGCUUUGGAUGUGGAGUGUGCCAUUGAAGAGGACUGCAUUGGAUGGAACUGAAUAUGGUCUUUUACUGUUGGACAGUGGAGGAAUCAAUGCUUAUGAUCAAACAGUUAAGUUUUUCUUUUUCUUCUGAUUUAUGCUAUCACAGAAAUGUGUCAGUGGUGAUUUGCAUUUUUUUAGUAUUUAAAUCAAUUAAAGAUCAUAUUGUGCUUAUUUGAAAGAGAGUUCUUUGGCUACUUCUGAAUUCCUGUACAAAGAAACUUAAAAUAGCCCCUAGUUUUUUUCAUUUCUUUGAACAUGCUUAACAUCAAUGGCUGGGCUGUCAACCUGUAAGAAAGUGGUUUAGCCACUUCUUGCUGUUGUCAAAAAGAAUGAAUAUAAAAGGAAAGGGUUGGGAAAUAUCUUCUGUGGUUGCAAAUGUAAUUUACUUUUAGUUAGAAAUGAGAAUAUUAAACAUAUAUGUCAAGUGAUCUUGUUUGAUCACAUAUUGCUUCUUCCUUCUUCUUUUUUAUUUUAAUUUUUUU